rnacentral:rRNA from 1 species
AGUGAACGCUGGCGGUAGGCCUAACACAUGCAAGUCGAACGGCAGCACAGUAAGAGCUUGCUCUUACGGGUGGCGAGUGGCGGACGGGUGAGGAAUACAUCGGAAUCUACUUUUUCGUGGGGGAUAACGUAGGGAAACUUACGCUAAUACCACAUACGACCUACGGGUGAAAGCAGGGGAUCUUCGGACCUUGCACGAUUGAAUGAGCCGAUGUCGGAUUAGCUAGUUGGCGGGGUAAAGGCCCACCAAGGCGACGAUCCGUAGCUGGUCUGAGAGGAUGAUCAGCCACACUGGAACUGAGACACGGUCCAGACUCCUACGGGAGGCAGCAGUGGGGAAUAUUGGACAAUGGGCGCAAGCCUGAUCCAGCCAUACCGCGUGGGUGAAGAAGGCCUUCGGGUUGUAAAGCCCUUUUGUUGGGAAAGAAAAGCAGCAGGUUAAUACCCCGCUGUUCUGACGGUACCCAAAGAAUAAGCACCGGCUAACUUCGUG